rnacentral:rRNA from 1 species
UACGUAGGGCGCAAGCGUUAUCCGGAAUUAUUGGGCGUAAAGAGCUCGUAGGCGGCUCGUCGCGUCGACCGUGAAAACCCGCGGCUUAACUGCGGGCUUGCGGUUGAUACGGGCGGGCUAGAGUUCGGUAGGGGAGACUGGAAUUCCUGGUGUAGCGGUGAAAUGCGCAGAUAUCAGGAGGAACACCGGUGGCGAAGGCGGUUCUCUGGGCAUUACCUGACGCUGAGGAGCGAAAGUGUGGGGAGCGAACAGG